NNGAGUACUCGGCUACGAACCGAGCGGUCGGAGGUUCGAAUCCUCCCGGAUGCACCA
rnacentral:tRNA from 1 species